rnacentral:rRNA from 1 species
GAUGAACGCUGGCGGCGUGCUUAACACAUGCAAGUCGAACGAAGCACCUUGAUUUGAUUCUUCGGAUGAAGAUCUUGGUGACUGAGUGGCGGACGGGUGAGUAACGCGUGGGUAACCUGCCUCAUACAGGGGGAUAACAGUUAGAAAUGACUGCUAAUACCGCAUAAGACCACAGUACCGCAUGGUACAGGGGUAAAAACUCCGGUGGAAUGAGAUGGACCCGCGUCUGAUUAGGUAGUUGGUGGGGUAACGGCCUACCAAGCCGACGAUCAGUAGCCGACCUGGGGGGGUGACCGGCCAAAUUGGGCCAGAGACCCGGCCCAAACUCCUGCGGGAGGAAGCAGGGGGAAAUAUGGCACAAUGGGGGAAACCCUGAUGCAGCGACGCCGCGUGAGCGAUGAAGUAUUUCGGUAUGUAAAGCUCUAUAAGAAGGGAAGAAAAUGCCGGUACCUGACUAAGAAGCCCCGGCUAAAUACGUGCCAGCCGCCGCCGUAA